GAAGAACGCUAGCGGCAGGCCUAACACAUGCAAGUCGAGGGGCGGCACAGAAACAGCAAUGUUUUGGUGGCGACCGGCGGACGGGUGCGUAACGCGUCUGCAACCUACCUUUAACAGGGGGAUAACGGAGAGGAAUUUCCACGAAUACCCCAUAACAUCGAGCAAGGCAUCUUGAUUGGUUGAUAACUACGGUGGUUAAAGAUGGGCAUGCGUUGUAUUAGUUAGUUGGUGAGGUAAUGGCUCACCAAGCCUACGAUAUAUAGGGGGACUGAGAGGUUAGCCCCCACACUGGUACUGAGACACGGACCAGACUCCUACGGGAGGCAGCAGUGAGGAAUAUUGGUCAAUGGGGGCAACCCUGAACCAGCCAUGCCGCGUGCAGGAAGACGGCUCUAUGAGUUGUAAACUGCUUUUAAACAGGGAUAAAGCACAGUAUGUAUACUGUGUUGAAGGUACUGUAAGAAUAAGGAUCGGCUAACUCCGUGCCAGCCGCCGCCGUAA
rnacentral:rRNA from 1 species